rnacentral:rRNA from 1 species
GAGUGAACGCUGGCGGUAGGCCUAACACAUGCAAGUCGAACGGCAGCACAGUAAGAGCUUGCUCUUACGGGUGGCGAGUGGCGGACGGGUGAGGAAUACAUCGGAAUCUACUUUUUCGUGGGGGAUAACGUAGGGAAACUUACGCUAAUACCGCAUACGACCUACGGGUGAAAGCAGGGGAUCUUCGGACCUUGCGCGAUUGAAUGAGCCGAUGUCGGAUUAGCUAGUUGGCGGGGUAAAGGCCCACCAAGGCGACGAUCCGUAGCUGGUCUGAGAGGAUGAUCAGCCACACUGGAACUGAGACACGGUCCAGACUCCUACGGGAGGCAGCAGUGGGGAAUAUUGGACAAUGGGUGCAAGCCUGAUCCAGCCAUACCGCGUGGGUGAAGAAGGCCUUCGGGUUGUAAAGCCCUUUUGUUGGGAAAGAAAAGCAGCAGGUUAAUACCCCGCUGUUCUGACGGUACCCAAAGAAUAAGCACCGGCUAACUUCGUG